UUUAUUGAGAGUUUGAUCCUGGCUCAGGACGAACGCUGGCGGCAUGCCUAACACAUGCA
rnacentral:rRNA from 1 species